GACGAACGCUGGCGGCGUGCUUAACACAUGCAAGUCGAGCGGCAGCGGGUCCCCGCGAGGGGAUGCCGGCGAGCGGCGGACGGGUGAGGAACACAUCGGAAUCUGCCUGGUUGUGGGGGAUAAUGUAGGGAAACUUACGCUAAUACCGCAUGAGACCCUGAGUCGACGGACUGGGGGUGAAAGUGAGGGACCUUCGGGCCUCACGCGACCAGAUGAGCCGAUGUCGGAUUAGCUAGUUGGCGGGGUAACGGCCCGCCAAGGCGACGAUCCGUAGCUGGUCUGAGAGGAUGAUCAGCCACACUGGGACUGAGACACGGCCCAGACUCCUACGGGAGGCAGCAGUGGGAAUCUUGCGCAAGUGGGCGAAAGCCUGACGCAGCGACGCCGCGUGAGGGAUGACGGCC
rnacentral:rRNA from 1 species